AACUUAUUGAAAAUGUUGAUUUAA
rnacentral:snRNA from 1 species